AGGGGAGGCUCAGGUUGGAUUUAGGAACAAUUUCUUCUCGGAAAGAGCGGUGAGGCACUGAUGCAGGCUGCCCGGGGAGUCACCGUUACUGGGCGCGUGUGGAUGCGGCAAUGAAGUUCGUGGGCAUGGUGGGGAAUGGAUUGACAGCUGCACUAGGCGAUCUUGGGGGGCUUUUCCAAACGUAAUGAUCCUGCGAUUCUGUGAGCUCCAUGCUGUUCCUUUGGUCCCGUCCCUGUCACCAGAGGGAAGAGCUCAGCACAGCCCUUCUACUUCCCAUGAGGAAGCUACAGGCCCACCAUGAGGUCUCCCCUCAGUACCCUCUUCUCUUGACUGAACAGACCAAGCAACAUCAGCAGCUCUUCAUACCACUUGCCCUCCACACCCUUCAUCACUAGUGUAAAUCUGUUACGGAAGAAAUCUGGAAGAAUCCCAUCCAACGAAUCCCUUUUCAAAUGAAGACUUGAUAGAAGCCAUCAGGAUCACCACUACCACCACAGAAAGUUCCGAGAAGAAGAUGCAGACAUGCCAUUUACUACUGACUCCACCAAUCUUCUCAUUCAGCAGAAUGGUCUGAUGAGAAAAGAAGUGCACAAGCUCCACCUAAAAGACCCAGCAUGUGGCCGCAGCCUCACCCAGCUGUAUUGUUGACCGCAGACAUUUUCUUCUUGGACCCCCUUCGAAGGCAGUGGCAUCAACCCUUGAGUGCAUCACAGUGCUACUUGGCAGUGCCCAUAUCUGCGGCCACAUCUCAUGCCAUUCUAUUUAGAAAUGCCAG